rnacentral:lncRNA from 1 species
GGAGAAAGAGAUUCUUUAAUUGUCUUAUUUUUAACAAAAACGUAUUCAGCCUUGCUCAGACGAUUGUCGAACUAGGUUACUCGUGGGGGAACGUGAGCCACCUUCUUUAUCGUCUCCAAGAAGCACCCCACAUCGGCAUCUGCCUUAGGAAUAGGAAACGAAUCGAAGAAACCUGAAGCCAAAGAUCCAGAGCGACCACUAUAUCCGUGCAACUAGCCCAAUUUUAGGGAUCUGUGGAAUCGUUUAAUAAGACCGUUUGAUUCAGGAUGAUAUGAUGAGGUUGUCCUAACUGCGAUUCCAAGUACCCUGCAAACACACGUCCAAAUAGUACUUGUGAAUUGCGUCCCCCUGUCUGACACAAUGAUGUCAGGUACUCCAAAUCUUUAUAUCCAACCAUCCAAAAAAGCUCCAGCCACUGUACUAGAGGUGAUAGUAGGAAUUGGGAUCACUUCCGGCCACCUCGUAUACCGAUACAUUAUAGUCAGGACAUAGCGAUGUCCUUCGACGAGUGUGAACCGGCCAAUAAUUAUAUCAAUGUGGAUAAAGGCAAGUGUCGCUGAUUGUGGAUCAAAAGAGGAAGUGGGCUUGGAGGUUCUAAAAGGCUUCGUUUGUUGAUAUGCGAUGCCUUCUUCAGUAAAUUUUUUAAUAUCAGAACGUAAUUUAGGCCAAGCGUAGAAAAGUGAUACCCUUCUUAAAGUCUCUUUGAACCCCAGAUGAUUAUCUUUGUGGCUUGAAUGAAUAAUUCGUCGGCGAAGUUCUGGAGAGGAUACUACGACACGAAUGAAGUCUUUGUUCCCGAAGCCUGCAACUAAAGUUUCUGAAACACACUUGAGACAAGGUUUAACUUUAAAAUUUUACCUUUAAGGGUCAUGGGGGUCUUUGAUCUUCAAUGACAUCCUGAAGAAAAUUGGGACUAAAUUUGAAGUUGUUAACAUUUUUCGAAAGAAUAUCCGCGGUGUGGUUUAAUUUUCCUGAAACAUGCUCAAUCCUGCAAUUAAACUCUGCUACAUAUGCAAAUGUACGGAAUUGUCUUGGAGUCCAGGAGGGAUUGCGGAUGUCUAUCGCCGACACUAAAGGAUUAUGAUCUGUGAAUACUAAAAUUUUGUCCACCUAAUGCCUACAAUAAGGCUUUAUACCUAAAUGCUAGUGGUUGCCAGAGCCCAUUCACU